GCGUUGUUCUUAGCACAUUCCCGUAUUGACAAAAACGAUGCAUGUUUGUUUUGAAACUAGUUAACAAUUAUGGCGCAGGAGAUAAUUGAUUUACUUUGCCGCGUUUGCCUUAAGCAGGACGAGCUGAUGGUCGGCGUUUAUGAGCAUGUAGAGGAGCAGCACACGGACUUAUGCACGCUGCUUGAACGCUGUGGCGACAUCAAAGUUGACAAGUCGGAUACAUAUCCCAAGUAUUUAUGCCAGGAAUGUACAAAGGAGCUGCUAAUCGCUGCGAAAUUUCGCGCUAAAUGUGCCGCAACGGAGCAAGAGCUCCGACAAAGAAAUCUGGUUCCUUCCAAUUACGAUGCUGCGCUCUCGUUAAGUGAAUUGCGUGGUGAUAAGGUAGUUUUGGAUGAAUCCGAAAGUGUCAUGGAGAAUACAGGAGACAUUAUCGAGUACGACCCAUGUGAAUAUGUAGAAUUAUACGAAGAAUGCAAUACAGAAGUGCCAGAUGAAGAGCCGGUGCCAGAUGAAGAGCCGGUGCCAAUUCAGAGUGAAUCGCUUGAAGGGAUGCAUACAAUGGCCAUUUACAGCUGCGAUGAUUGCGGAGCCGUCUUUCAGCAGGCAGCUACGCUCCAGCGGCACAUUGCCAAGGCCCACGUCACUGCAGAGACCUACGAUUGCCAACAUUGUGGCCAUAUCUUUACACAGAGCAUAAAUCUGCAGAGGCACAGCUGCAUCGGAUCUGACGUGACGUUGACGAAUGCCCGGGAACCGCAAGCACGCCAUCGUUGUGUCUACUGCGGCAAGUUUCUGCAAUCUGCCGCUAGCCUGGCCAUGCACAUACGUCUGCACAAUGGGGAACGACCUUUUGCCUGCGACGCUUGCCCAAAGACUUUCAAAACAAACGGUGGACUUGUAGCGCAUCAAAAAAGACAUCUCAAGUUGAUGGAAUACGCAUGUAAAUUCUGUGGCAAGGGUUUCGUUGAGUCGAGCAAUCUGCGCCGUCACAUAAUUGCUUUACACACCUCCGAUCGCCCGCACAGCUGCAUCCUCUGCCAGCGCAGCUUCUCCCGUGUCUAUCUACUAGAGCUCCACAUGCGCACCCACACUAACGAGCGUCCAUAUGCCUGUAGCCACUGCGAUCGGAGAUUUGCCCAGUUGGGGGUACUGCGUACUCAUGAGCGCAUCCAUACGGGAGAGCGACGACACCGCUGCGGUCUUUGCCAGAAAACCUUUAGUAGGAUGAUGCAGCUUAAAAAGCAUCAGCUGAAGCCUUGUCUUUCAGCAGAUUCCGAGGUGAUCAUACGAGCAGACGAGGAAGUUUCGUAGUUAUUAGAUAAAACAUGGCUAUAUUGCAUUCAAGCCGAGGUCAUACCAUGUGGCGUCAUCACACAAGGAUUGAUAGAGUCCUGUGAUUGUUCGAAUGUUUGGCCGCUAUUAAUGUCAAUCGGAUCAUUCGACGCAAUCCGUGCAUUCAAAUCGAUUUGAUUUGUUAUGAUGCUCAAUAAAAAGACAGUACAAAAUACA